AUUGAACGCUGGCGGCAGGCUUAACACAUGCAAGUCGAGCGGAGAUGAGGUGCUUGCACCUUAUCUUAGCGGCGGACGGGUGAGUAAUGCUUAGGAAUCUGCCUAUUAGUGGGGGACAACAUUCCGAAAGGAAUGCUAAUACCGCAUACGUCCUACGGGAGAGAGCAGGGGAUCUCCGGACCUGGCGCUAAUAGAUGAGCCUAAGUCGGAUUAGCUAGUUGGUGGGGUAAAGGCCUACCAAGGCGACGAUCUGUAGCGGGUCUGAGAGGAUGAUCCGCCACACUGGGACUGAGACACGGCCCAGACUCCUACGGGAGGCAGCAGUGGGGAAUAUUGGACAAUGGGGGGAACCCUGAUCCAGCCAUGCCGCGUGUGUGAAGAAGGCCUUAUGGUUGUAAAGCACUUUAAGCGAGGAGGAGGCUACUGAGACUAAUACUCUUGGAUAGUGGACGUUACUCGCAGAAUAAGCACCGGCUAACUCUGUGCCAGCCGCCGCAGUAAAAC
rnacentral:rRNA from 1 species